UUCUAUUACCUCAUUGCAUUAUCACUUUAAUGAUUGUUUUCCUGUUACCUGAAGCUGUUUUAAAUAUGAUGACCAUUAUAUUACUGAAUAGCACAGGAAGCUGAACUCCCCUUAUUAAUCAGCUCCCCUGGCCCUUUACAGGUGAUUAUGGGGUCUGCAAUCUGUGUUGUUAUUACAUGAGUGUGAGGUCUUGCAGGUGAGUGAACUGCUGCUAUGUGUAUGGGGGAAUGACACCUGCUGCUAUGUGUAUGGGGGAAUGACACCUGCUGCUAUGUGUAUGGGGGAAUGACACCUGCUGCUAUGUGUGUGGGGGAAUGACACCUGCUGCUAUGUGUAUGGGGGAAUGACACCUGCUGCUAUGUGUGUGGGGGCAUGCCACCUUUCAGGUCUGCAAACACCCAUGGCCCAAGAUAUAAUCUCAAUCCUUUAGAUAAUAAUGUAUAAUAAUAAUGUAUAAUACCUUUCAACUGAUAGAAGUGAAAUCUAAUGUAUAGCUGUGAUUGUUGCUGGGAGCUAUUAAAUCCAGUGAAGUUCAUGGAUAAAAUUUUUAAAUUUCCAAUGUGAAGAUUCACAAUUCAGGCAGAUGAAUAAACUUGGUAUGAUCAUGUUUUUUCUUUUAAUACUCUAUGGCCACCCAGCCCCAAAGAUCAUGUGACCUUUGAAAUUAACUUUCCUCCCAGGAAAACUUGUUUUAUAUAACUCUUAAUUGGACUAUAUAUACUUAGAAAAAGCUCUUCAAUAUUUUCUUGUUGCCAUUUGCACACAUUUACAUGAAAACUCUUCCCCAUAUUUUUAAUGUAAUGCUCAUGAUUGGUCAUAACACAUGUUCUUCAUAACGUUUCUGAAGCGAAGCAGCCUCUGUUGCAAGAAUUCAUCCUUGAUUUUUCUGUUUUCUUAUGGACUUUGAGUUUGAAGCUAUUUCUUGUCACCACAAUUGCAGCUG
rnacentral:lncRNA from 1 species